rnacentral:rRNA from 1 species
GACGAACGCUGGCGGCGUGCCUAAUACAUGCAAGUAGAACGCUGAAGAGAGGAGCUUGCUCUUCUUGGAUGAGUUGCGAACGGGUGAGUAACGCGUAGGUAACCUGCCUUGUAGCGGGGGAUAACUAUUGGAAACGAUAGCUAAUACCGCAUAACAAUAGGUGACACAUGUCAUUUAUUUGAAAGGGGCAAUUGCUCCACUACAAGAUGGACCUGCGUUGUAUUAGCUAGUAGGUGAGGUAACGGCUCACCUAGGCGACGAUACAUAGCCGACCUGAGAGGGUGAUCGGCCACACUGGGACUGAGACACGGCCCAGACUCCUACGGGAGGCAGCAGUAGGGAAUCUUCGGCAAUGGGGGCAACCCUGACCGAGCAACGCCGCGUGAGUGAAGAAGGUUUUCGGAUCGUAAAGCUCUGUUGUAAGUCAAGAACGAGUGUGAGAGUGGAAAGUUCACACUGUGACGGUAGCUUACCAGAAAGGGACGGCUAACUACGUGCCAGCAGCCGCGGUAAUACGUAGGUCCCGAGCGUUGUCCGGAUUUAUUGGGCGUAAAGCGAGCGCAGGCGGUUUGAUAAGUCUGAAGUUAAAGGCUGUGGCUCAACCAUAGUUCGCUUUGGAAACUGUCAAACUUGAGUGCAGAAGGGGAGAGUGGAAUUCCAUGUGUAGCGGUGAAAUGCGUAGAUAUAUGGAGGAACACCGGUGGCGAAAGCGGCUCUCUGGUCUGUAACUGACGCUGAGGCUCGAAAGCGUGGGGAGCGAACAGG